UAAAGGUAUGUGCCACCACCGCCUGGUUUAACUUCAUAACACAUUCUAAAGUAGUUUUACCACUUCCAGUUUUAUUAUCAUUGGCAAUAUAUUAGUGGGCUGUUAAGAAAUGGAUAAACUCCCAGCCAUAGAUGACUCACAAAAUUAAAUCAACAGGAUAUAAACGACUUAAACAGACUCAUAACAAUCAACAAGAUGGAGACAGUAACCAAAAGUCUCCCAAAAAAUAAAAACCUAGGACAAAUGGAUUAAUUGCUGAAUUCUAUCAAAUCUUAGAGAAGAUAUAACACUAAUAUAAACACUCCAACUGUUUCAUACAAUACAAGAGGGUAGGAACAUUGCCAAGUUCAUUGUACAGUUAGCAAUACCUUGAUAUGAAAAUUGGAUAAGAACACACAUUAAAAAAAGAAAGAAAAGAAAGUCGGGUUAUAAUUAUUAUUAGAGGCGUGCGCCACCACACCUGGCAUAGAUCUAAUCUCUUUCAAACCCCACAUCCUGAUUCUCAGAGGCCAAUUGGAUCCCGUGUUAAAAAUAUUGACUUCCUAUUCCCAGUUCAAGCCUGCUUCUGUUUCAAGCUUCCUAUUUUAGUUGGUGCAGAGGCUGCCCCUGCAGACACUCAAAGUAAAUCCUGUCAUCAUCCACACCCCCGACCCCGCACCCAUUUCACACACUGAUCCAUUGGACAGCUAUUAUCGCCAUGACCCUCUCCGGAGUUUUCCAAAGCCUGGAUUUAGUCUUCCAGCCCAUAUGGUCCCCUCUGCCGUCACAGCAACUUUCUCAAAUAUCGAGAUUUCUUUGUUUGGCUUGAACAUAUUUGAGGACUGACUCCUUUUAAGACUCAAUGCAGACUCUCACCGCCUUCUCUGCAUUUUUCCCUCCCACUGUCCACUGCAUGCCCCUUCAUGCGGAGUGACACGCGCCCGGACAGCUCCUCAACACUUCAAUGCUGUGCUUGCUUUUCAGCGUGCUCUCCUCUGAGGCACGACCCUAUCUGCGGUCUGUUUGCUAACUCCUGGCGCUUGGCCUCCUGCGCCAUAAGCAUUUGUACUGCGUAGACGACAACAAAACGUUCGCAGCUUUGCCAGAGCCCCCCUCCUUGGAGAUGGCUGGUGAGCAGAGCCCACACUCAAGGUCACUGUUAGGGCACCGCGGGCCUUGCAGAGUCCAAAGCGGUGCAUCCCUAGGAAGCUCUAAAUUGGCUCCAACUGCGGCCGCAACGUGCACCCGCUCCUCCCGGCAGGCUGUAGGGGCGGCGCUUCGUGAUUGGGGAGGGCGGGGACAGAGGCUGGUGCGGCUGCUGAUUGGCUGCGCGGGGUCAGGCGCUGUGGGCCGAGUGGACGCGAGUGACUCUAGGGGCGGGUGCUGACCGAGAGUAACCCCGGGAUCGUGUUCCCGCCCUAGCUGGACCUCGGAGAGCAGGCACCCGCAGAGGGCCAGGACUGGAAGAAAAUAGCGUUGGAUGCUUCCUUCUGUCUCAGGCCCUCGGCUUAACCUGUGUUGGAAUUUAAUAGGGCUUCGUGUGAGGUCACCAGCACAGUAGUUUAUGGUGUGUCGGGGGUGGGGGCGCGAUGCAUUAGUGAUCCAGAGAAGUAGCCACACUGCCUGUUCUGGAAAAGGUGUGGCUGGAGGCAUGGCUGGAAGCUUUGGCUAAAUGAAUCCUGCUAGUACAAGCGCAGCUUCUUCCACUCAACCCCGAAGGGGACAAAUGUUAGGGUGAAGGGUCAAGGGUGACACUCCGUCGUUGCUGGUUUUCAAUGAAGAGUGCGUCAGCCGCUGUUGAAAACUGUGCACCCCACAAAAAAUUGAACAAAAUUAUCACAGGAGAGAUCUCAUCUUGUGUACACAAAUCAACAGAAAGUGAUGCUGCCUACGUGCUGGGUUCCAUGGCCUGUAUAGUACUUCCAUCAUGAUGUCAGUUGUGUUAAGAUCCGAGAGCCAAAGGACCUCCUUUGUGUGUUUGAGCCUAUGGGGAGAGGCUGAGGUGGGCCAAAGAAGCCCAGGCUGAGACUGAACAGUACUGCCUGCAGAGGAAGAAGGAGUUCAAGGCCAGGGAAGCUGCGGCACUGGGGUCCCAUGGCAGUUGUAGCAGUGAGGUGGAGAAGGAGACCCAUCAGAAGAUGACUGUCCUCCAGAACUUCUUCCAGCAGAACAGGGAUGAAAUCCUGGAUAACCUGGAUAACCUCUUGGCCUUUGUGUGUGACAUCUGGCCUGAAAUACGUGCAAACUACCCCAUAAACGGAUAGGAGAUAGGAGCACAUCCUCUGUGGAUUGGCUUGGGAGACGCCCUUACAAAAUAGGAAAACCUCCACAGAGCCCGAGUUCUGUUCUGGAAGGCAUUAAGCUUCUCUGUACUGUUGUAGAUCCUUCACUUGUUGAGAGUAUCAAAUCCAGCUUUUUGUACAGCUUAUGUUGGAAAUGCAACCUAGGGCAUCCUGCAAUGCAUGACAAGAGUUCUACGUGUAUCAUCAGCCCUAAAAACUAAUGAAUGAAUGAAUAAACAAACAAACAAACAAAAUAAAUAAAUAAAGCAAGCACCUA